AAGCGCCGGCCGCCAUUUUGGGUGAGGGCAAGCUGCCCUUUUCCUUUACUUCCUUGCGAGUCAUCGAGCUGUUGCGGGGAAAGACGUCCUCCUGCGUUCCGCCUCCCUCGGAAACAGAGCUCCCGCCGAGGGACAGGUGCUCCUCAGCCGGUUAACUAUAACGUUCAGUCAGGACCGAAACACCGACCACUGUGGCUUCAAGGAUUAUUGUUAUCGUUCGAGAUGAUGAUCCCGGGGAAGCUACCCUGCAAAUCAUGAGCCCUGCUGAGUGCCCAUUCUCCUCACUUUUGCCAAACCUGCACCGGUAAUUUGAGUAAUUUAAAAUAGUCCAAAAACAGUAAAGCUCAGCAGCUACGCAAAGAAACAGGAUGGAAAACACUCCCUCAGCCAGAGAGAAGUGUCCACCCCCUUGAGUGGAGAAAUUAUACAAAUCGGGAAGAUAAGGACAAAAGCAGUUCAUCACGGUUUAUCCCGCCUCUGCAAUAUUCUACACAAAUUAACUUGAAGCGCUAAAAUAGACCCGCAUUUGUCUUUUUACAGCUCAAUUGCCGUAAAAAAUACGGAGACUGCAUCACUUUAAAUUGGAGUACCAAUUGUUUUGUGGUGGUACUGGAUUUUUUUGUUAUUGCUCAGUCACUAAAGAAAAAUCUAUAUGGCUUGUCAAAUUCCUAUUGUAUUUCGCCCCCUGCUGGUGUAGCUUGCGUGCAAGCUUGAAAAAAAUAUGUCUAGGUCACUAUAAAUGUUUAUUGACCAAGAAAGAAAAA